GUCAUUAACAGUCGCCUCAGGAGGAGGGCGGGAAAACCGUUCCGCGGAGGCCCUGAGGGGAAACGGAGUCAAAAAAAAAAAAGCCUCCGGUUUUGUGUGUUUGAGGGCGGAAAGGCUCGGCGUGGGCUGUGUAGUGCUGGGGGAGCAGAUCCUCUCCUUUGUGGCUUCAAGCUGCGCCAGGGGAGAUUUAUGCUACUUUUCUGAGUGGUCAGGCACUGGGAUGGGCUGCCCGGGGAGGUGGUGGAGUCACCGAGCCUGGGGGUGCUCAAGUAGCGUUUGGAUUUUGUGCUGAGGGACGUGGUUUAGUGAGAACUAUUGGUGAUAGGUGGACGGUUGGACUGGAUGAUUUGUAGGUCUUUGCCAACCUCGGUGAUUCUGUGAUUUGUGUUGGUGCUGAGAGCCCCUCCCUGCACAUAGGAUUCCAGAUACAACCCUCCAGUGCAGAGCAGAGGGGAGAACCCCCCUCGUCUUUCUCUGACCACACUCUUAAACGCUCCCCAGGGUCCCAUUGGCCACCAGGGCACACUGCUGCCUGUCGGUCCCCUUGCUGGUCACCAGGACCCCCAGGUCUUUCUCCUCAGGGCUCCUUUGCAGGCCCCAGCCUGUACUGAUGCAUGUGGUUAUUCCUCCCCAGGUGCAGGACCCUACGUUGCCUGUGUUCAACUGCAUCAUGUUCCUCUCUGCCCAGCUCUGCCUGUCCAGGUGUCGCUGAAUGGCAGCACAGCCUUCUGCUGAGCCACAGCCACUCCUCACAGCUUCGUACCAUCAGCAAACUCUGAGGGAUCCAGAAGGUUUUGUUGCAUCAGAGAAAGAGAAUCGCUUUCUGAUCAGAAAUGAGGCUAAAAACAGAAGGAGAAAAAUCUUCAGGCAGUAAAGAAGACAGCUUGCAAGCAGCAAAACUUUCUGCAGCCACCUGUAGGUUGAAGAAAAAGCUCUGCAUGAUGUUUGCAACAGAAACUGAGCACGCAGCCGUUCCUGGAACCAACAGCUGUGUUCGGGGGAGAUGGAAACCUUCACUGUGAAGGAGGAGGAAUUUCCAAUUGCUCAGGAUGAAAUAUUUCCUAGCACUGCUGGAGAAGCAGCACCUUGGGCUCAGAAGUGCUGGAUGCUGCCACCCCACAGCCCCACCUGCCAGCUCUGCGCCGCGGCUGUCGGUGUCCCCGUACUCGAACUCCACGGUGGGGAAAUCCACAGAGCCCUGCGUGUUUGGAAGUGCGGGAGCGGAACUGGAGCGUGAAACCCCGGGGAGGGAACGCAUGAAUGGGUCGUGGAUGGCACUUCCAUCGCUCUCCUCUGGCUGUGGGGCGCAGCGAGGUGCAUCGGCCCCAUUCCUAUGGGUACCCCCGAGAUGCGCAGCACGGGGCUGAGCGCUCUGCACCAAAACUCCGCUUUUUUCGCCCCGUUUGUGCAGCCCAGGGCUGCGGAUCCCCUUCGGGAUCCUAAAUCCCAGAAGGAAUUCGGGACUAAUCGGAUCAGGGGGGCCACGAAGGGGGGAGUAAAGCCCCGGCGCACCCAACACAGGAGCCCACUGUGGGUCAUGGCUGCUCCGCAGCGAUGGGCUCAGGGCCCCCCGGUGCCGUUGUGCCGGCUGUCGGGGUGCGGGGAGCAGCCACGGG